rfam:Cavia porcellus supercont2_18 genomic scaffold, whole genome shotgun sequence.
GGAGAUUUAGCUCAGCGGCGUAAGUGCCUGCCUUGCAAGCAGGUAGUUGUGGGUUCGAUCCCCGGUACCA